rnacentral:rRNA from 1 species
UCUCUGUUUUCGAACCCGACGAUACUUCUGAGUGUUCUUAGCGAACUGUCAAAACUUUUAACAACGGAUCUCUUGGCUCCAGCAUCGAUGAAGAACGCAGCGAAACUCGAUAUGUAAUGUGAAUUGCAGAAUUCAGUGAAUCAUCGAAUCUUUGUAUCCUGGGAGGCAUGCCUGUCCGAGCGUCUUUUCAACCCUCGAGCCCCUGUGGCCCGGCGUUGGGGAUCUGCCACGGCAGGCCCCUAAAACCAGUGGCGGACCCGAAGGGCCCUCUCCUUUGCGCAGUAGCAUUCGCCUCGCUUGGGAGUCCUCGGCGUCCUGCCUCUACGCUUCGGCGGCACCAAGGUUGACCUCGGAUCAGGUAGGAAUACC